rnacentral:rRNA from 1 species
UGCGGAGGGAUCAUUACGAGAACUUCCGGGCUUCGGCCUGGUUAUUCAUAACCCUUUGUUGUCCGACUCUGUUGCCUCCGGGGCGACCCUGCCUUCGGGCGGGGGCUCCGGGUGGACACUUCAAACUCUUGCGUAACUUUGCAGUCUGAGUAAACUUAAUUAAUAAAUUAAAACUUUUAACAACGGAUCUCUUGGUUCUGGCAUCGAUGAAGAACGCAGCGAAAUGCGAUAAGUAAUGUGAAUUGCAUAAUUCAGUGAAUCAUCGAAUCUUUGAACGCACAUUGCGCCCCCUGGUAUUCCGGGGGGCAUGCCUGUUCGAGCGUCAUUUCACCACUCAAGCCUCGCUUGGUAUUGGGCAACGCGGUCCGCCGCGUGCCUCAAAUCGUCCGGCUGGGUCUUCUGUCCCCUAAGCGUUGUGGAAACUAUUCGCUAAAGGGUGUUCGGGAGGCUACGCCGUAAAACAACCCCAUGUCUAAGGUUGACCUCGGAUCAGGUAGGGAUACCCGCUGAACUUAAGCAUAUCAAUA